GUCUAUGGCGAUCCGGCAGGGGAGGAUUUAUCCUCACCGGUUUUGGUAACUCCCGGUCUGCAAACCCUGUCUGGAUCGCCGCCAUC
rnacentral:antisense_RNA from 1 species